GACGAACGCUGGCGGCGUGCUUAACACAUGCAAGUCGAACGGAAAGGCCCUGCUUUUGUGGGGUGCUCGAGUGGCGAACGGGUGAGUAACACGUGAGUAACCUGCCCUUGACUUUGGGAUAACUUCAGGAAGCUGGGGCUAAUACCGGAUAGGAGCUCCUGCUGCAUGGUGGGGGUUGGAAAGUUUCGGCGGUUGGGGGUGGACUCGCGGCUUAUCAGCUUGUUGGUGAGGUAGUGGCUUACCAAGGCUUUGACGGGUAGCCGGCCUGAGAGGGGGGACGGCCACCUUGGUACUGAGAUACGGCCCAGACUCCUACGGGAGGCAGCAGUGGGGAGUAUUGCACAAUGGGCGGAAGCCUGUUGCAGAAGCGCCGCGUGCGGGAUGACGUCCUUCGGGUUGUAAACCGCUUUCGCCUGUGACGAAGCGUUAGUGACGGUAAUGGGUAAAGAAGCACCGGCUAACUACGUG
rnacentral:rRNA from 1 species